rnacentral:rRNA from 1 species
UACGUAGGCAGCAAGCGUUGUUCGGAGUUACUGGGCGUAAAGGGUGUGUAGGCGGUCCCUUAAGUUUGUCGUGAAAUCUCCCGGCUCAACUGGGAGGGUGCGGCGAAUACUGAGGGGCUAGAGUGCGGGAGAGGAAAGUGGAAUUCCUGGUGUAGCGGUGAAAUGCGUAGAUAUCAGGAGGAACACCGGUGGUGUAGACGGCUUUCUGGACCGUAACUGACGCUGAGACACGAAAGCGUGGGUAGCAAACAGG